UUAAACUAAUCCAAACACCCCUCUUGUCUCUCAUCUUCUCCAACUCAGAUUGAAUAAACCCUAGCGGCGCCUACAGUUCUCCGCCAUUGUAGCCGGCGGCGCCACUUCCAAACCACCACAAAUUCCAGCCACAAUACCCCCAUGACUUCCCCUCUCCAAUUCCACUAUAAAUAACCCUCGAAUCAUCACAAAGGGAGCCAAUAUUAGAUUUAGAAAAGGCAGAAAAAAUGACAACCGAAAAUCUAAAUUUCUUCAAGUUUACAUGGCCGAUUAGGGUCUAAAUUAUUGUUUUUCAUUGGUUUUUGACAAGAACCUACGACGAACACCAAUUUUGGCUAGAAAUUGAAAUGACAAAUAUUCUCCACCAUGCUCUUUCAUGUCUUCUGUUAGGUACUCUCCUUUGUUUUUCUUUUUCCAUUCUUUUACUCUUUUUCUCACCUUCAUCUUUUUCUGUCCUCCUCUUUCCUUUUUCUUUUUUGUUAACAUAUUUUUGAUUACAUGAUUUGAUUUUUUAGCAAGUUUCUAUUGUUUAGUUUUGGUUCUUGUUAUUUAGUGUUAAUUAGUCCUUUUUCUUUCUCUUUUAUUUUUGUUUCAUUUCAAAGGACUUCUGAUUUUUCUUGGGUUGUUUCCGGUUUAAAUUAUAUAAUUUGACUUGGGUUCUGAAAUCAGAAUCCCAAAAAGGGAUUCAACCAGGGUUUUGCAGACCCAUGACAAUUUAACCUUUGGUCAACAUUGACCCAUUUGGUUCACUAAAGUAAAAACAGGAGUUCUAAGGGUUAGAUUAGAAAAUUUAGGUUAGGGAAUAUUUAAUAACUAACUUGGGAAGCUUCCUAGAAGGUGAAGAUUGUGUAUGAUUUUCAAAAACUUAUUUUAAACUAAGGACCAAGUAGCAAAAAUGAAAUUUUCAAAGGAUCAAAGGGCAAUAAACUGACCCAUUCCUGUUGCCCUAAGGCUUGCCUAUAAAGGCAUUGUAACCUCAUUCUCAAGUCAGAUUUUUGAAGAAUUACAAAACUAGAGAAGCUUUUCCAAAUGGCUGAGCUAAAAGAACUCAAAUAUUCUUGCAUUUUUAGUAGAAAUUGAUCCAAUUCUGUGACUAAUCUUUCAAUUCCGAAACCUUCAAAGGAUUUCUAUCUUAUUCUGGGAUUCAAGAUGGUUUAAAGGCUGUUUGAUCACUAUUCCAUUGCUGAUUUUUUGAGCUAAUUCUGUUGUUGCUUCCCUUUUGUUGAAUUACUACUGCUGCUGCUUCAUAACUUCAGGCUUUUGUUGUUGUUUACUUGUUGUCCUCAGUUACACAUCUCUGAUUCUGAAUAUAUAGGAUUGGCUCAUUUGACUUGAAGGAAUGAAGAUCUCCUCAUAUACUUGAUGCUUUUCAUUUGUCUUUUGUUUCAAUUUGUUAAUUCAUUUUCAUGUUUUAGCGUGCCAAAAAUGAUAUCAUGCUAUGAGAAUUCGAGACUUAUGAUAAAAGUUGUAUUUGGAUUCUUAUUUGUGCUGGUAAUUUCGAUUUGUUUCGAAUCAUUUCUCCUAAAUGUGGAUAGUUGUACUGUCGUGUAUGAGAUCCAUGUGAGAUAGUUAGUACUACUAUUAGGUCUUUUCUUUUGAAUCGGACGUUGUAGUCUUAGUGUUGCUCGAUUUUAUUUUAUUUUGUUUCACAAAUGACUAAGUAAUGGAUUUGGUCUAUUUUGAGUUCAUGUUGAAGGAUUUACCCUUCUCUUCUUGAAAUAUAUAGUUGUAACAAUUUGACUUAUUUUGGAACAUAGAAAAGGCUUAGGAUUCUAUUGCUAGCAUUGAGUUUGAGUCAUGUGGAGAAUUAUUUUUUUUUAAAAACUUUCAUUCGACUUUGUUCACGUUGAUACUGAUUUUCAAACUUAUGAUUUAAUCACGAAAAUUUUGUCGAUUUGCUGUUCCUUACAAAAGUUUUGCUUAGCAUUUUAUUUUUGGAUUAAUAUAUGUUGAGUAGUAAGUGGAUGGUCUGGGUCUCAAUGUUGAUUGAUGGGUUACAAACAAAGCUUGCCAUGUGUUCAUAAUGUGGAUAAGGUUAAAUUGAAAUUAGAAUGUUGCUGCUUGCUUUACUCAAAUGAGCUCGAACGGUGUUCUUCGUUAAUGUUGUGAUUAUCCAUUUUUGGUAUGUUUAUUCAAUUUGUUUGGAUCAUGACCAAAGGGCCCAGCUAAAUUUUGUGAAGUUUCAAUUUUUUCUUUGGGAUUUUUACCUAUGUAUAUACCAUAUUGCAAACCUUAUUACCUCUCAUGUUUAAGGUUUGUGUUUAUUACAUUUAAGCAUACCAAAUUUCAAUUUAUAUGCCAUAAUUCAAAUUAAGGGUAUAAUUAUUGCUUCAUUUAU
rnacentral:lncRNA from 1 species